rnacentral:tRNA from 1 species
GGGGCCAUCGUCUAGUGGUCAGGACACUGCCCUUUCACGGCGGUAACACGGGUUCGAACCCCGUUGGCCCUACCA